GACGAACGCUGGCGGCGUGCUUAACACAUGCAAGUCGAACGGAAAGGCCCUGCUUUUGUGGGGUGCUCGAGUGGCGAACGGGUGAGUAACACGUGAGUAACCUGCCCUUGACUUUGGGAUAACUUCAGGAAAUUGGGGCUAAUACCGGAUAGGAGCUCCUGCUGCAUGGUGGGGGUUGGAAAGUUUCGGCGGUUGGGGAUGGACUCGCGGCUUAUCAGCUUGUUGGUGGGGUAGUGGCUUACCAAGGCUUUGACGGGUAGCCGGCCUGAGAGGGUGACCGGCCACAUUGGGACUGAGAGACGGCCCAGACUCCUACGGGAGGCAGCAGUGGGGAAUAUUGCACAAUGGGCGGAAGCCUGAUGCAGCAACGCCGCGUGCGGGAUGACGGCCUUCGGGGUGUAAACCGCUUUCGCCUGUGACGAAGCGUGAGUGACGGUAAUGGGUAAAGAAGCACCGGCUAACUACGUG
rnacentral:rRNA from 1 species